AUAAAUCAUUAAAUUAAAAAGAUUUGGCGGUAUUUUAAAUUUUUAGAGGAACCUGUAUAUUAAUUGAUAAUCCACGAUAAGAUUUACUUAAAAGCUUAUGUAUUGCUGUUUUCAGAAUAUUAUUAAUUAAAAUUUUAAAUUUUUAAAUUAAUUUAAUUCAAGUCAAAAUAUAGUUUAAUUAAGAUAUGGGUUACAAUUUUAUUUGGAAAAUGGAUUUAACAGUAA
rnacentral:rRNA from 1 species